UUUAAGUGCAGUUAUCGGUUUCUAUGUCCAACGUAUGAUCAUGCAUUUUAUUUAAAAAAGUUUAUGAUUAGUAUUUUUAUCGUUGGUAGAUGGUAAAAUAUAAAUAGCAUUUUAUUUUAUAUGUGACUUAUUUUUUAAUUUUUUUAUAAAUUUUUUAAAAUAAGUCAAAAGGUUAAACGUUGGAAACAAUAACGUUUACUGCACAGACG
rnacentral:pre_miRNA from 1 species